GUGCAGUGUCGAAGUCAUACAGAGGCAAGGGGUGGUGACUUCUGUUGCCACAGGAAAGAGGUAUAUAGUUCACACAUAUGGCACUGUAUCCACUGGACAUCUGAGGUUCUAUCAGGCCACUAGGAGACUAGAAAUCAACAUUAUGAAGCUUCCACUGAAGAUAGAGACAAGUGAUGUCAUCCAAGAAGUAAAUCACCAGUCAAGGUGACAUUGAAGGCUAUCCAUCAUAUUUUAUAACCCAAAUGCUGCCAUUGGGUACAUAUUUUCUGUUUUGGGCAAAGACAACCCGGAUUGGGUUUCUUUGUAAGAAAAGCAAUCUUCACACGCUUUGAACGCAAGUGGCUGACUUGUAAGGAACCCCUGACCUCUGCCUUACUGGAGAGCGCAUCCUGCUUUCAGAGGACAAUUUACUCCUCCUGAUAACCUAGAAACUUUCACUGAAUUGUCUUCAACUCAGCUAACUUGCUAGCCAGUGCCUGCCCACCACCCUGCCACCUCGUCUGCCACAUGCAAAAGUGGCAGUCCCUAAUGGCUGAUCACUGUGGGUUUUUCCACACAUAGAGGAUAUCCUUUGGUGCUCAGCAAAGCAGAAGAAAACAGGCUCAUUUGCUAAGACUCUCCACAUGAGUAUGUCCUGUUGGACAAUAUCUUCCCAGAUGUCAGUGUACAGAUGAAUUCUUUAAACAUUCAUUCCAAUGAACAUGCAGCCAGAACAGCAGUGUGGCUCCUUGGAGGGAUCAGAUAAGUAAUGAAAACAAACUUUCAGGAUUUGUACUCUAUUUAAAAAGAGAUAUCUUACUGUGCGCUGAAUCUUGAGAUUUAUCUGUCUAAAGGUUUGUAUCCACACCAUCUCCAAAUGUCUUCAGACACAUAUGGUACAGUCUUCCAGCCAUUCAAAACUAUAAUUUCUGCAUAUGGCCAUGUUCUUAUAUGUAUGAAUAUUGAUGUGAGGUACCUUCCUCCAUUGAUCUCUUAUUAUUUACUAGGUGUGGUUUGGCUUAGAUCCAUAGUUUACAUAUUCAAGAAGUCUAGCUGGCUGGCUUGUCCCAGAAUCUAGAUUCUCUAUCAAACAAAUGUUGUAAUGGAAGUCUGACGAUUACUUCUAGUUGGAUUUAAUGUAGAUGCUAGGGAUUUGAAUUCUGGGAAAGUGCUUUAUCUACUUAGCUUCCUCUCUAAAUCCCAGUCUCAUUUGAAG